GAUGAAGAACGUAGCGAAAUGCGAUAAGUAAUGUGAAUUGCAGAAUUCAGUGAAUCAUCGAAUCUUUGAACGCACAUUGCGCCCGCCAGUAUUCUGGCGGGCAUGCCUGUCUGAGCGUCAUUUCAACCCUCAUGCCCCUAGGGCGUGGUGUUGGGGAUCGGCCAAAGCCCGCGAGGGACGGCCGGCCCCUAAAUCUAGUGGCGGACCCGUCGUGGCCUCCUCUGCGAAGUAGUGAUAUUCCGCAUCGGAGAGCGACGAGCCCCUGCCGUUAAACCCCCAACUUUCCAAGGUUGACCUCAGAUCAGGUAGGAAUACCUGCUGAACUUAAGCAUAUCAAUAAGCGGAGGA
rnacentral:misc_RNA from 1 species